rnacentral:rRNA from 1 species
GCCCGCUCAGAAACUCGAAAGGAAUUGACGGGGACCCGCACAAGCGGUGGAUGAUGUGGUUUAAUUCGAUGCAACGCGAAAAACCUUACCCACCUUUGACAUGUACGGAAUUUGCCAGAGAUGGCUCAGUGCUCGAAAGAGAACCGUAACACAGGUGCUGCAUGGCUGUCGUCAGCUCGUGUCGUGAGAUGUUGGGUUAAGUCCCGCAACGAGCGCAACCCUUGUCAUUAGUUGCUACGAAAGGGCACUCUAAUGAGACUGCCGGUGACAAACCGGAGGAAGGUGGGGAUGACGUCAAGUCCUCAUGGCCCUUAUAGGUGGGGCUACACACGUCAUACAAUGGCUGGUACAGAGGGUUGCCAACCCGCGAGGGGGGGCCAAUCCCAUAAAACCAGUCGUAGUCCGGAUCGCAGUCUGCAACUCGACUGCGUGAAGUCGGAAUCGCUAGUAAUCGCGGAUCAGAAUGUCGCGGUGAAUACGUUCCCGGGUCUU